rnacentral:tRNA from 1 species
GCCGAAGUGGUGGAAUUGGUAGACACGUUGGAUUCAAAAUCCAAUGAGAGCAAUCUCGUGUGGGUUCGAGUCCCACCUUCGGUA